GACGAACGCUGGCGGCGUGCUUAACACAUGCAAGUCGAACGGAAAGGCCCUGCUUUUGUGGGGUGCUCGAGUGGCGAACGGGUGAGUAACACGUGAGUAACCUGCCCUUGACUUUGGGAUAACUUCAGGAAACUGGGGCUAAUACCGGAUAGGAGCUCCUGCUGCAUGGUGGGGGUUGGAAAGUUUCGGCGGUUGGGGAUGGACUCGCGGCUUAUCAGCUUGUUGGUGGGGUAGUGGCUUACCAAGGCUUUGACGGGUAGCCGGCCUGAGAGAGUGACCGGCCACAUUGGGACUGAGAUACGGCCCAGACUCCUACGGGAGGCAGCAGUGGGGAAUAUUGCACAAUGGGCGGAAGCCUGAUGCAGCAACGCCGCGUGCGGGAUGACGGCCUUCGGGUUGUAAACCGCUUUCGCCUGUGACGAAGCGUGAGUGACGGUAAUGGGUAAAGAAGCACCGGCUAACUACGUGCCAGCAGCCGCGGUGAUACGUAGGGUGCGAGCGUUGUCCGGAUUUAUUGGGCGUAAAGGGCUCGUAGGUGGUUGAUCGCGUCGGAAGUGUAAUCUUGGGGCUUAACCCUGAGCGUGCUUUCGAUACGGGUUGACUUGAGGAAGGUAGGGGAGAAUGGAAUUCCUGGUGGAGCGGUGGAAUGCGCAGAUAUCAGGAGGAACACCAGUGGCGAAGGCGGUUCUCUGGGCCUUUCCUGACGCUGAGGAGCGAAAGCGUGGGGAGCGAACAGGCUUAGAUACCCUGGUAGUCCACGCUGUAAACGGUGGGUACUAGGUGUGGGGUCCAUUCCACGGGUUCCGUGCCGUAGCUAACGCUUUAAGUACCCCGCCUGGGGAGUACGGCCGCAAGGCUAAAACUCAAAGGAAUUGACGGGGCCCCGCACAAGCGGCGGAGCAUGCGGAUUAAUUCGAUGCAACGCGUAGAACCUUACCUGGGUUUGACAUGGAUCGGGAGUGCUCAGAGAUGGGUGUGCCUCUUUUGGGGUCGGUUCACAGGUGGUGCAUGGCUGUCGUCAGCUCGUGUCGUGAGAUGUUGGGUUAAGUCCCGCAACGGGCGCAACCCUUGUUCACUGUUGCCAGCACGUUAUGGUGGGGACUCAGUGGAGACCGCCGGGGUCAACUCGGAGGAAGGUGGGGAUGACGUCAAGUCAUCAUGCCCCUUAUGUCCAGGGCUUCACGCAUGCUACAAUGGCUGGUACAGAGAGUGGCGAGCCUGUGAGGGUGAGCGAAUCUCGGAAAGCCGGUCUCAGUUCGGAUUGGGGUCUGCAACUCGACCUCAUGAAGUCGGAGUCGCUAGUAAUCGCAGAUCAGCAACGCUGCGGUGAAUACGUUCCCGGGGCU
rnacentral:rRNA from 1 species